rnacentral:rRNA from 2 species
GGACUACACGGGUAUCUAAUCCCGUUUGCUCCCCUGGCUUUCGCGCCUCAGCGUCAGGUGAGGUCCAGCACGCCGCUUUCGCCACCGGCGUUCCUUCCGAUAUCUACGCAUUUCACCGCUCCACCGGAAGUUCCGCAUGCCCCUACCUCCCUCGAGCCUGCCAGUAUCGGGGGCACUUGUCCGGUUGGGCCGAACGCUUUCACCCCCGACUUGGCGAGCCGCCUACGCGCCCUUUAAGCCCAGUGAAUCCGAACAACGUUCGCACGGUUCGUCUUACCGCGGCGGCUGGCAC